GCCGAUGAAAGAUUAGACAACGUUUAUGAUGCACUAACAGUGGAGACAGGCACACAGCAAGAGUGCCAGGAGGAGGGAAACCGAGUCCUGCUCUGGAGGCACGGAGGGACAGGCAUCCUGAGAGUCCGUCUGCAGGUGGCAGGAGUGUGGAGGCCGAGGACGGGGCCUCCUGGGAGCCAUCCAGGCAGGAGCCUGGUGAAGACACGGACAGAGCAAAGCUCCCAGAACGUGGUUCUCAAGGCCUGUGGCUGGAGCUGCAGCAGCCCUGGGACUGGUCACAGAUGCAUCCUGGGGCCCAGCCCACGUCUCCUGGGCCAGGGGCUCGAGAGGCCUGCGUUUGGCAAGUGCACUCCCGCUCGCCGUGACAAGCUGAGGGGACAAGCGUUGCCCUUCUCCGUCGGCAGCCUUUUCCAGAUAAAAGACUCAGACUCAGACAGGGAGCCUGCUACCUGGAAGUCAUUCGGCCCCUUUGUCAGGAGGCCCUCCUAGACCGACGACCUAGGAGAACGUUUGAAAACCACAGCCCUCCAAGAGCCGGCAAGCAGCAACUGCAGGGCGGUUUUGAACCCUCAAUCCACAAAAGACCCCUUCCCCAUGAUUUGCUGUGUAAUAUAUUUAUUAUUGCUGUG
rnacentral:lncRNA from 1 species